AGACCAGGCUGGCCUCGAACUCAGAAAUCAGCCUGCCUCUGCCUCCCGAGUGCUGGGAUUAAAGGCAUGUGCCAACACCGCCCUGGCGUAUCCAAAUGUUCUUGGCUUUACCUCUGUGAAGUUCAUUAGUCCAUUUCCUGAUAGACUUCUGGCUUAGUGCUUCAGUAUUGAGUAUUUUUGUUCUUUUUAUUGGCAACUGCAUUGGUCAAUUGACAGGAUUUAUGGUUGUUUUGGGUGUUUUGUUUCUGUUUUUGUUUUUUAACAAUUUCAGCUAUUUUCGAGUUGGGAUCUCUAAUUCUGAUGUGGGAAUGGUGGACUAAGUUCUGAAUUCUCUGGGGUCCCAUGUUUGAAGAACAAUGCAUCUUUUUCAGUAUGCUUAUACCCAUUUUCUCUAGUACAAUUAGUUUGUAGUCAGCUGAUCUCCAUCAUCUCUUAUGACACUGAUACAUGGGCAGGCUUUUGGCCAAGAUCCCAUCUUCUGUCUGGUCAGAGGGUGUGGGAUCUCCUGGAUCUAGUGCAGUCAAGGAAAUGAGGGGCCCAAUUUUCUAGGAUUACCCACUGGGCUGUCUUGUUGCUCUUUGGGAUGGAGUUUAGUUCUUCCUUCUGCCUUCAGAGGGCCUCUCUCUAUAUAAAAAUUACCCUAGAUGUGAGCAGUAGCAAAGGCACCAACCAUCUGUGUCUCUUGUCUUUUCUCAACUCUAUUGCCUUGGUCAAAGCUGCCAGUUCAGCUUUCUGUUCUGACAUUCCUGCCAGGAGUGGUUCUGCCCAUAUGAUCUUGGUGUCUGAGACCAUCACUGCCCCAGCAUAUCUCUGUCCAUCCUGAAUGAGGCAGUUGCCAUUGGUGAACCAUGUUACCUCUGCAUCCAUCUGAGCAGUCAUGCAGAAGCCCAUCAAUCAAGCUCAGGGUCAGGCAGCAGGGCAGCUGAAACGUUAUCCUGGGGGCAUUCGAGAAGAGAGGAUGGUUUCUAAGAUGCCUUUCCAGACUUGAACCCAAACAUGUGAGCUGCAGGCCGGACACAACAGUAGAGUAAGGCCUUCUUUGUCAAGGCUCAAUAGCCCAAUAUUUUUAGGGCCUCUAAGAUGUCCUGAGUCUUUGUUUUGUUUCUGUUGCCACUGGAAAGCCAUUUAUAAACUGAUGAAGAGACUUGAUCUUCAUGUUUUAGCAAGACAGAAUAUUGAACUUUAUUAAAAAUCAACAACAACAGGAAAACUGUUGGGUUUCCCUUUUACUCUUAGGGUUACCCUGGGGUUGGGGAUGGGGCACUUUUGACCUCAGGGCCUCCCUUAACUCCUUCUUCUGAAGUUGUCUGUUUUAGGCAUCUCCUAUGGUCUUCUAGUUUGUCCAUGGCUGCCAACAGGAUCUUUGCCCAUUCUCGAAUCUGUUGCUUCUCUCCUCUCAUCUGCUUUUCCUCUGCAGUCUCUCUCUUUUUUAAAAAUACUCUCUGUCACUAUGACUAAGUUUCUCUGACUCCUUUCUCCUAACCUCUCAACCCUCUGGAGCUCUUUCUUCUUU
rnacentral:lncRNA from 1 species